rnacentral:lncRNA from 1 species
GAAAAAAAAAACUUCCCCCAGAUUUAACUUCUUGUUCACUGGCCAUAGAAGAAAAGUGGUUCUCAAUUCCUUGAGGAUUCGAUCCUAUUUACUACUACUACAAAUUCAAUUUAUUGAUAGAAUAGGAAAAUUAAUUUUGGUGGAUUCAACACCCAACAUUUUGCUUUCUUCUCCUUCAUCUCUUCUAUAUAAGUUAAAGUAGUCUAAUGCGGAACCCAAGAUCAACCAAUGCGAUUAAAAACUCACACAAUUUUAUUUAAGGCACCAAAGGAAUUUGAUCAUAUGAAAACCCUCUCUACUUAACCCUCUAUCAAGAAUGAUAGAAACUAAAAUUACUGGAAAACAAAGAAUUAAAAUAAGAAUGAAAAAAUGCCAUAAGGAAUUACCUUGAUAAAUAUAU